rnacentral:rRNA from 1 species
ACAUACGACCACACCCGCUAGGCAACUCGGGAUCCCGUCCGCUCUCCCAUCGAUAAGCUAGCGAGGGCCAGAUUAGUAGUUGGGUCGGUGACGACCAGCGAAUCCCUGGUGUUGUAUGUU